CAUCCCUGUCCCUGACCCAAUAUAUAUUAAAAAAAUAUUACUCCUCUCAGGUAAGUUCUUUUCUUCAGAAUGAGUAACACAGACUUCAUUAAAAUCUUUUUAGUCCUCCUGGGCUGCAAGGACAUGGCAGGAAUGACUAGUGUCCACUGUGACAAGGGUCUGUGACACUGUGACUGAGGCCCGUCUCCUCCUGCCACGACGACUCAUGUGCCCUGAGAGACAGGCUCCUCUCUGUCCAGUCAGCGUCCAAGGACACGGACAGUGGUAAGGCACCGAGCACAGACACUGUGAUGGACACAGCACGCAGGAUGGCGUAUGCUCCUGGAGGCAGAUCACAGCCAGCACAGACAGCAAUUCUGGGUGUCAAAG
rnacentral:lncRNA from 1 species